AAGACCUAAAAUAUAUAUCUAGACCACUCGUUUACGUUAAAAAAAUGAACUGUUUCAACUUUUAAUUGCCUCAAAAUUGUCAGUAGUGUGGGAUAGAGCAUGUGAUAAAUACUUGGAUAUAUGCAUGCAUUGGUAUAUGUCAAUAAUGCAAAAUAAAGUAGCUUAGUCAAAUCUGACAGAAAGAACAAGGCGUGAAUAGACACAAACAUUAAGUAAGUCCAAGAACAAGGUAGAAUUAGAGGAACUGACAGAACAACUCAUGUACCUCCUUAUUUCAGGAUGGAAAACAUGCUUUCUGUUUGCAUUACUGCUGUUGGGCGAUUUCUGAAAUUCUGUUCAUACUGACAAACACUUAAGGAAUGCUUAAUCAUAUGUAGGUUGGAUGAGAAUAUUUUUAAUCCCUUCCUUUUCAGCCUUGGGACAAUAUCUAUGUUUUGUCCUCUUUUGCUGUCUUGUCUUUUUCUUUUGAAAGUUAAGAAGGAGCCUAAUUUGAUUAAUGAUACAGAAUAAAUAGUACUACACUGGAGUGAAAUGUAUUUGUCAGGACAAUGUCUCCUUUCAUGUUGUUACUUCACACCAGUAUUAUUCUGGCACAUGCUAAAAAUGAGAGCGUAGCUAUUGUUUUUACUUGCUGUUAUGAGUUUUCUGGCCGUUAAGAUGAUUAAUCAGUUUGUUAUUAAUAUAACUCCAGUUCCUUAUUCUCAUCUAUUCCCCAAACACUCAUCCAUUCACAGCACAAAAAGCAUUAAGUAUUUUAUGUGCAAAGAUGUAAGGAUUGUUGUUCUGCCAGACAUGUGUACCGCUGUCUCCCAUUCUGGCUGUGAAUUUCCACACGACGUUUUCCUGUAGUGUUUGUUCCUGGGGAGCAGUAAUUUCUGAAAUGUAGUUGUGCAUUAAGCAGACCUCUUGGUCUGCCUCCAACAAAAAAGGGGUACAGGAUGCUUAUGAAUUGUACUGGCAACAAGCAUGCUGAUAUGGAAACUUUCCCAAUAUCAGAGCUGGCUGGAGAUGUCCAUAAUUUCUAUGAUUUCUCCUUUGUGCUUUAUAACCAAAAGAUGCUGCUGGAGAGUGAGGAAUGUGCCCAACAUGGUCAAACAGUUGCCAGUUAAAGUUUGGAUUGUUAUCCACAUCUCUGUGGUAUAUUCAUUCUAUUAUGUCUUCAAUUUAGACUUUUUCAGAACAUGUCCUGUUGAGAAAUUGUUGUAAAAAUGAAUGUUUUCUCUUCCAGUUGAGCUGUUUCAUCAGGAUGAAAAAAUGUUUUAAUUUCAGGAGCAGUAAAUUAUUAAAAGAAUAUAGGAAUAUUAAAGUCUGCCUUCUAGGAGCAAUAAUUAUUUUGCAAAGAAAUCCAUAUUAAUUCUGAAGCAGCUAGAAUACUUUCAUCAGCUAGAAAUAGCUUAGUUGAUGACUACUGUUUAUCAGCCCCUGCAGAAACACCCCCCAACAAAGCUAUAUUCCUUCUUAUGUUCUUAUGUGUAUCCACACAACUAUGCACUAAGUAUGUCUAUCUCAGGCAAUUUAAAAAUUCUGAUUUUUCAAGGUAUGAAUUAUUUGUCCAAGUUAUUGUGACCAGAACAAUGAGACUGGCCACACCAUUGGCCAGGCUGGGAGUUGGACUCAGUGGUCUCUUCAGGUCCCUUCCAACCCCUGAGAUUCUGUGAUUCUGUGAGAGGUUUGUAUUAAAUGUGCAGCCUUUCAUAUGUGUGAUAAGCUCCCAGCUUGCUGCUUUUAAAUGCUGUUUACUAGGGAUCUCCUUGAAGAGACUUUUGUUAAGUGAUGUUCCACCCUACUUCCAAUGUAUUGAGUGCACUGCACUUACUGAACUACAAAGUUCUGUCAUCACCCCCAGUUACUGACACUGAGGUGUGGCCCUAUUUAUAAAGGGUGGAAGUCAGGUCAUUGUCUCUCUUGUUUACUGAUCUGUUUAAACUUUGGUUUCCAUGAGUACCCAUGCUUGAGACGUUGAAAUUUGCUUUUUGUUAGGGUUUUUUUUUUUUUUUUUUCAUAUAAAAAGCAAUAGCGUGCUUGUCUGUAGGAAAAAAUGAGCUCCAAACUCAGUAACUUUAGCUGACUUUGACUUCGGGGGUUGUUCAAGCGUGCAGUCCUGCCACUGUGAACCUACUGCUCUUGAAACUGAAAAGUGACAUUUUUGUGUGACCUCUUGUGAACCCAGCUCUUUCUGUCUCUUCCCCCUUUAGGCCUGACUAUAGAUAGCCCUAAGGGUUGCCUCUGCUUCCCUGUUUAGCCCUGCCUGUAGUGUGAUCUUUAUCUUCUAUGGUGAAUCGCCUCUGUGCAUCAGUCAUUGCCUUGAUUUCACUUGUGUCCUUUCGGAUUUCACUUCCCUCUGGUGGUAGCAUUAAGACAGAAAACAGUCUGUUCCCUUAGUUUUCUUCAGUGGAAAUAUCUGUUUCAGUCUCUUGAAGCAAAGCAGUGGCGUUUACAAACAACACUAGAGGUUCAUGUCAGUCCAUCCUGAAACUUUCCUAAACGUAGUUGCAGGAAACUGCAUCCCACUGCUCUCACAUGAGUUUAUUGUAGUCAAGGUUUAGAGAUGAAGAAAUGCUGGUGAUCAGAAUACUUCUGCUUUGGUUCGAAUGAGUCUGUAUGUUACAUAAAACGAACUAUUAAAAAACAGGAACAGAAACUGACCUAUGUAUUUACACCACAAAUCAUGAAUCAGUUAAAUAUUUCUGGCGUAACAAAAAGGAAUGCAAUGAGAAUCUUUUGUCCUAAGGGGAAAAGAACAUGUGUACUGUAAUUGUUUUUAACAUUUUUUUGCCACCAUUCCUCUAUUUCUGGUUUUGAUUUGGAUGACCUUGCUCUGACAGUGUAUUUAUGUCAGACAUCACAGCCUACAGAAAGUAUUUCAUAUGUCUGAAGACUCUGGCAAGUGUUCUAAUUUGAGAGACUGAACAUUUUGGUAUUGCUCAGUUGCUAUUGGUCAGUAAGUUAGCACUUCUUCGUAGCUUUUCUUUGAGCUGUGGGAGUGAUGGUCUGUCACUAUAAGGUUGAAGACAAAACAUAAAUAAUGUAAUAGAUGAGCUACACACAGCUGCUAAAAUGGUCACCGCAAUGUGCAAUGCAUUUGCUACUCCAAAAUGAAAGCUAGAUCAGUCAUUCUUUAAAUACCUCUUCAGAGGAGGAAUAACUUUCUCACUGAAAUAAAUUCUAAGUGUUGAUAAGUGUCCUCUGGUCUUUCAUUGGAACAUCGUAAUACAGAAUCAGCCAUUUUUCUCCAAGUUUUACACCUGGAAAAAAAGGAGGUAGCAUACCAGUGAAGUUGGGGCUCUUUGGGAAGGAGGCAAGGUAUCUGUCAGCAGGAAAAGUACUUUGUGCUCUGACAUAUGGUGUAUGUAUUGUUCACAUAGAAAACCGGACAGCUUCCACAAGGAGAGUUGAAGGAGUGCCUUCGUUAGUAAAGGGAGCUCUGAAAACACCACUGGCUUGCUCUUCUGCUACAUUGGGUAUAGGGAACUCUUGACUAAGAUUCACUUCAGAAUGGUCCCUAAGAAAAUUUGUUCUUUCGUCUUGGUAGGAAUCACUGAGAUAAAGAAUUUCUGAAUAGUAAUGGUCACAAAGGAAUGCAAAUUCCAGGGCUUAAGUGCGCACAUAUGCAAUUAGGACAAAACCGUAGGCUUUUAUGUCAAAACAUUAGCGAACAGACAAAACAAGAAACAUCAAAGAACUGUUAAAGUCAACAAAGAUAUCUUAAGUGGUGAACUUGGCCUCUUGUGUAUGAUACGGCUUUGGGAAACGGCAAAUAAAUUCCAGGAGGAGAAAGGUGAUGUGGCCUUGGGAGGCCAGCUGGAUCUGAGCAGUGGCGGUGAGCAGAGAGGAAACUUUGCUUCUCAGUGGCUGGAAGGAGGAAUAAGUGGCAUUCUUCUGAUUCUUUCAGUCUUGGGGCAUGAAGAAGGAAUCAAAUCUGACCAUGUGGUUCUGGUUGAUAAGGAAUGCAAUAGUGUUAUCAUGACAGAGAAGGAAGCUUUAGGAUAAUCGUUCCCUUUUUUCCCCUCCCUUUCCCUUUCUUCCAUUAUUCUGCUACUCUGAAAUGCCAUUUUAUUUAUCUUCACUACCUCUGAAGUCUUUCCUUCGUUCAUUUACUUUCUUUUUCCUAAUUCUCUAUUUCAUUAAACCUAUCAAAGGAGCUUGGUUCCUAGAAACUUGAUAGGCACCUCAGAUGAGAGUCCACCAUUUAUUUUUGCUGAUAUGAGUUCUUUCAGGUACUUACUGAGUGUGAUACAUGCUCUUUGUUUUAUUAUCUAUUAUGUUUUGUAACAACUGCUUCUUUCUUCUCUUCUUGUACUUACUUGUUAUAUUCUGUCUAAGAUUUAGACCAUAAUAAUUUUUAAGGAGGAUAGUACUUUAAUAUAUUCUGAAAGGUACAUAGAAAAACCUAUGGUUCUUCACAUACAUUUUAUAAGUGCAUCCCAUUUUGGUGUGUAUAGCAUUAUUUCUAUGCAUGCGUCUUCUCCUGGCUGCAUCUUACCUAUUAUGAAGUCUAAAAGUGAGCAAAAGCAAUGAGUUGUGCAAUUUAGGUACAAUAUUUUGCAAGUUCUAAGUUCAAGCAAGUUCAUAGUUUGGUGAAGUUUGGCUAUGUUUUCAUACUACUUUUAAUAUGCAGCCUGAUGACUUAUAAUGAUGUUUUUAAAGCCUGAUUUUCUUCCCCAAAAAUAUUUUUGGAGUCUUGCCGAGAAAAAAAAAGAUUGAAAGGUUGCAACACAGAAUGUGUCUGAUUCUUCUUUCUUUAUAUGCUUAGGAAAUGCCAAACUUGUGCCUGCAAAAGAAGUUGUUAGGAAUAGCCCUGGUGACUGUAAACCUCUAGCAUGAGCUGAUCAAAGUAAUGAGCCUCAGUCUGUAAAAAUCAUGAGGAAUGAUUCUGUCCCCAUCAGCAGGAAAAUAUUAUGGAAGCCUGGCAGCAUCUGUUAGUUUUUACAUUUUUUUUGCAAGUCAUGUUGUGCUGUUAGGAAUCCUGCACACUUGUAGUUAAACUUGGAAAGAUGGGGAAUGUCUUUGUUGCUUUAAUAAUUUAUGUGGCUCCUGUAAAAGGUUUAUAUUUGCAAGCCAGCUUAGCAUGCUUGAUUUACUACUAAGAUUCACUGUUCUCAUUGUUUCGCAUAUCCUGGCAUAGGGACCAGUCACUUGUCUCAUUUAUUCAUCUGUUGCUCUAUAUCCUGCUCAUGAACUGGUAAUCCUAGCAGAGGCUAUUAAAUGUUGGGUUUUUUUUUUAAAUAAACUAUUUAAACCCAAGUUUGUCUUCAUAAAGUGGUAAAGCAGAACUACAUUUUGAUGCCUUUCCCACUUAAAUGAUAGUAAAUCUAACAAUAAUAUGCUUAUAGUGCAUUGCUGUGCUUAAUUCAAAAUAUGUUCAAGUUUAUCGAGAGGAAUGUCAAUACUUUGUGCUUUAAAGGUAGAGAAAUUCAGACAGGGUUAGUAGCUACCUUAUCUAAUUUGAUCAUGAACAUUGAAUUUCUCUGAGACGUGUAACAUUUCAGAGUAGGGAAAUAGAUUUUAUUACCCAAAAAUAACAAAUUGGAAAGUAGAGAGGAAGUGUUGCAUGUAUUGAAACCUCCAGAUCUUUGGGGAUCACAGAUGAAGCUACGGAUCUCCAGUGAGUGUUCCCUUUCAUUCAUCCACUUUGCUGUUUUCAGACAGGUUGGGCAGCACAGAGGACCAGCUCUGAGUUACUGCCUUUGUAGUACCAGCUCCACUCCUGCAGCUGGAAAACUUCCAGCUGGAGCUUCAGCCUUCCUCACAUCUGAGACCAACACAGCGAAAAAGAGAAGCACUGUGUUGCAAAAGCAGUGUCCCUGCUGAAUCCAGGAGGAUUCACUGAGGGUUUUGGGUGUGCUGGGUAAUACAUAUUAGCCCUGAAGAGGCACAUGGAAGCAUGAGCUUCACUGAUUUUGUUGGCAAUUGUUACAGUGAUUGCUGAAGCAUUUUGAUAAAUUUUGCAUUUUUUUUCAUCAAGCAUAAUACUUGAAAGUAACAACUUCUGUGUGGUACCACCUUCAUUCUUCGAAUUACUUGCAGGCUAGCAAAAAGAAGCGAGCUUGUGAGAACAGUUAUUUCAAGGGCAGUUUUCUUUCAGCAUAGUUUGUAAUCACUCAGUGGUUUAAGAUAUCCAUUUCAGCGUAGGAUGGCUAGGUGGUACCUGGAGCUGUGCAGAUUUUUUCUUUUUAUAACCAGUAUUUCUGCAGCUAUAUGUUGUCGGUGGUGCAAAAAUGGAAAACAGGCAAUUAAAAGCACAGGAAUUAAAAAAAAAAAAACAAAAACAACUCAAUGCUAGAGUCAUGUUUGUUGUCCAGUCUGUUAACCAUAGCGUUCUCUUGCUUGUGGUUAGAAGCAGUGUGCUGGUAAUAGGUGGGAUCUUGCAGUGGUCUUACUAUUCUUUUCCACAUGUUAUUCUCAUGUCUUCCUGUGUUGUCCUGAUCUUCAGGCUUUGACAUGGUAUUUUACUGAAUAAUAUUUUAAUAUAUUUUCUGUAAAAAGUGCUGAGGUACAUCUUUUACCUCACCUGCCUAAACAGCACCAAGAUCUAGAGAUGAAGUGGGCACUGGAGAUUUUAUGGACGUGAAGGGAAAUUUGGGAAGGGAAGAUGAAACUUGCAAGUGAGAUUCAAAGAGGAGAUGAAAUAUGAUGAGUGUCAGGCAAAGCAAAUGAUAAUUCCAGCAGCCUCGUGGAUACACUAGAGAACAAGGCAAUUUCAGGAAGGAAGAGGAGGCAGUGAGAUGGAAUGAUUUUUUUCAAUGUGAAGAGAAAAUGAUUUUUUUUAUAAUAGUGCAUAUUCCAAAGCAGCCUGGUCCUUGGAAAUUAAUUUGUGCUGCAGGUGACACUGAUUAUUCCUAGAGAUGUGCAGUGGCAGGAGCAGGAACAUUACUUUUUAGUGCCAAUAAGUUCUGCAAUAAGUGCUGUAGCACCACUGUGUAAUUAAUGCCAAAUGUGUCAUCACGCUUUACUCACUGAAAAGAAUUUAGAAUAGAUGCCUGCUUUCUCAGUGAAUAAAAUACCAUUUCACCCUAAUUAGGUUCAUUUUUACUGAGGAGAGUGAUUAAAUUAUAUGAACAAUAACUUCUCCUUCAAUAUUGUGACAAAGAGAAUGGAGUAUAUAAUAAACACCAAACAAAAAAAAAAAAGAGGAGAAAGCCAUCUGCAGUGGUUUUAGUUCUUUGUUGUAUGAUCAAGAGUCAAGCAAGUUCUGGUGAGCAGCUAGCAGUGCAGAUAUUCAGUGUGCCAUGGUCUUCAACUGGGAGUUAUGGGUGGAGGUGAUUGUGGGCAAACGUUUCCCAUCAUUGUUAAUACCAGGGCAGUUCAUGGUAGGAGCUCCACUGUAGAUAAACCUUCUGUGAAUAUGUUUACUCUGUCUUUUAGAUGCGCUGUAAGCUAGUGAAGCAUGUGCAGUUGCAUUCUUAUAUUGGUUUGCACAAGAUUUGGCUUUGUGGAGACUGCCAAGAUGGGUAAUGAAAAAGAGCUGCGGUAUGUGGAAAUUUUUUGUUUCGUACUUCAAAUCGGUCUGAUGUGGUAACAUCAUCUUUAGAAUAAAAAAGUAAGGCUGUUUAUUAAUCCUACACCCCUCUAACUUUUUCUCCCUCAAAAAUGAAAACUGAUUCAUUGCACCCAAUGAUUCUUAGAAAUUGUGGCAACAUGCGUCAGUGCAUUACACUUUCUCUAUUGCGUGUAUUGAUUUAAAUGUGACAUUUUAGUUUGUGAAAGUAUCUGGAAUCUUAGAUUGUACUGACUUUGUGCAAUGAAGUUAUCCUAGCCACAUAAGAAGCGAGCAUAAAUAUCUUUCAAGCUUUUUUUGUUGCAUGUUUAUAGAACAUUUUUCUUCAAGCAAAAGUGAGGUAGUUCAUGAGAUUUCUGUGUGUACUUACCAGUUCAGUCAUUUAUCUGUAUAUCUGCUUACAAUGAAUUCAUAUGUUAUGUUAAACCAAUUUUUAUGUAGAGUUUGGUUUCUUGUACUUAUGAGUACAACAUCUUCCACCUUUUCUUCUUGUGAAAAACGAUUUCACUCUUAAGGAGCCAUUUGUGCAACCUUGGCCUGGGCAUUCAGAAAUGUAAGACUAAAACCAGAAGGCGUUCAGACUCUGAGUUGUAUACACUUUUCUCUUUUUCUGUUUAUAUUUUCACUUAUAACGUCAAAGUCAAAUAUUCUCAAAUUUGCAGAAGAAGGGAGGUAUAUUACUGUAGAUAUUUUGCCCAUUGCUUUUCUCAUGUAAGGGAGUGAAGUACUGUUCAUCCACUAGUUGUGUAAUAUCUAUCAACCAUUUCCACUCUUACUUCUACCUUCUUUAUUUUUCUUCCAGAUUCUGGAAUAAAAUUACCACAGACUAACUCAUUUAUGAUCUAGACAGUAGGCCAAUUAUCCUGCUGAUGUUUGCAGCCUAAUCCAGGGAACUGCUUUAACAGGGGGGUAGACUAGAUGAUCUCCAGAGGUCCCUUCCAAACCCUAUGAUUCUGUGAUUCUGGAAUUAUACAAAAUCCAGCUGACACCAGUGUAAAAGUGAUAGGCCAGCAAAUUGUACAAUUUGAUUUAUGAGACUGGCAUCAGACUACAUGGUUUAAGCGGCAAUCCAAUGUGCCAUCCAGUUCCUUGUGAUUGUUUCAUAGUCUUUGUGUUGUCUGCAGAUUUGGGUAAAGUCCAAAGGCAGAAUUCAUGUUGAUAUGUUACUGUGUGGACUUUGUAAAAUGAGCUGCUAGGAACAGUCUACUUUCAAGAGAAGAACAUUUCUUCAUUACAACAAAUGCUAUUAGUUUCUGCAUUCUUUAUGAUAAUCUCAAUAAAUAGGGAGAGAAUGGACUGGGAGGUACAAUCCCAUCAGGUCAGGACUUAGAGCACUAUGGAAGAAUAUUAUGGAAGAAACUUGAAUGUCUUUUCUGCUUGUGUUACAAAAAGACUUAUUUUCUAAGGUUAUUGGGCCAUGAGCUUACAGUAGCUGUUAAUUCAUUUGCAAAUGUGAAAGCACAGACACAGCACAGACUGAACAGACUGCUUACUUUAAUCUUUCAUCGUAUUAUAAGUACGCAGAUUUAUAAAAGCUGAACAGCCAUAAUAAAGAAAAAAUCAAGUGAAUUACAGUUCAGGUUGAAAAAGUACCAGCAACUGCUCAUUCCUUGACCUGGUACCCUUGAUGGGAGCCUCUUACAAGGCUUGGCAAGGUCUAGCAAGUUUUAACAAGGGACCAAUGAAGCAAGGCCCUCCAUUCCUGGGGCUUCCUACUGCCCAGGAAAAGGGAUACAGGAGAGUAUGGAGGUGCCAGCGGAGAAUGAUCCUUGUGGGAGAGGAAGAGACGAAUUAGUACAGGUUUUGGAAUGAGAAUCAAAUGUCUGGAAAUUGCUAUUGGGGAUCAUAUACUGUCUGAGAACAAAGGGGUCUGAGAAGAGAGUUAUCUGCAUUAGCACUUUGGCUUGAAGACAUAACAUGACUUUGAAGAGAAUCCCAGGGUAUUGGAUUGAUUUGCAAAAUAGUUUUGGCAUAUGUGAGCUAGACAGUUCUUGGAGAAAACUAAAGAAGAAGCUUCACUCUAGGUUUGCACCUCAUUUGUUACACACUGAUGGGGACAUUGUAGUCUCUACCAGUGCCUGCUCCUUAGGCUGAUAUAAAAGCAGAUGUGUGGGUGGUAUUUAAUCUGGGGACCAGAUUAACUGUAAUCCAAAGUGAAACCCUAGCAAAAUAGAUUGUGGAGGCAUAAAGGCUGGGAAUAAAUUGUUUUGCUCUUCUGGUCUGUUUCUAUUCUGCCUUUAUUACUUGCUAUUGUGGAUAUAACAUAUGCUGUCAAACUGGCAAUUUUUCAAUUCUAUUUUUAUCUUUUAUUCUGAGAAUUACUCCAAACCUCUACUUUAGUGUUUUCUGGUAGUAAAGCAACAGCUACAUCUGUUUCUGCAAACCAGAUUAGCUGUGCACUUUCUCUUUAGCAGGAAGUCUUUGUAGAACGAUUUCUGAGCUUCCCACCCAACCAUGCGUUCGGGAGAGGACACGCCAAACUUGCCCUAACUUCCCGCACUGAAGUGUUUUGAAAUUUUGUCUUUGGAAAGAUGAACACCGCAAGGACACUGUGUCAUCCUCAGGUUUCCAAUACAUAUAAUUCGUUCUCAUGCUCAUCCUUCCAUUUUCCCUCACGUUCUACAGUGCAAAGAUUAUUAAUUUAGGGACAGAGGAGAACAAAAUACGAGUUGGCAGAAAUCAAUCUGUCUGCACAGAAGCUGUUUUUAAAGCUGCAUUUAGAAUAACACUUUCCUGAAAUGUGUUCAAAGAUCCUUGUUCAUACGACAGAAUGGUGCAUGUGCACACGUAGUUUCUCUCAGAUGUUUCGGAGUUCUGAGAAAACAGGAUCUGCUGUUACAGUUUAAAUUACUAAAAUGAUCACCACGCUAUCAUUUGAACAUUUAAAGUUCUGGUAUAUAACAGGAAGUGAUGCUUAAAUUUGGUAAAUACAAUAGAUGGAGUUUUGUAUCUGGGAAGAAUUUCCUUAUUUUAUAUUUGCUUGUAAGCAUGGCAUAAAUUCUACUGAAACACAUGGGGCAGUUUUACUGAUUUGCAUGUCCGAGAACUUUCCCCAGCAACAAAAGUAACUGGAAUUUUAUUUUUAAAAAUCAGAUAAAAUGAUACUUAAUCUGGUUGCAUGGACAGCUGCUAAUUCUACCCACUUCAUUCAGCUCUGUUAAACCGUAGCAUUCCCCAGUCAGAUGUGUAACAAUGCUUCUGGUUUUCAAGACCAAAUAAAUCACAAAGAGAUGGGUGUGUGAUCUGUUUGUGUCAGAACAGCACUGGUGUAAGCAGAAGUUCUAACUUACGUCUUAUUUCCUCCUGUCUAUGGUUACGAAUUGAAAUACGUUAGGAUAUCUGAUCUAUUUUCAUUAAAACCAUUCAUCUGAAAUCUUACAGUUGUCUUCUGGUAUAGCCUUGAAUUCACAGUUUACAGCUAUUCCCUAGCAGUGCUCUACAUCUAUUAACAUUCUGCCUUAUUUCUCUGGCCAAACCCUUCUGGGUGACAGGCAACAGCAACACAAAGAAAAGGAAACGUCUGAAGUGAAUGUCCUGAAAUGAGGAUUGCCCAAAAUGACACCAUGGGACAGCCAAAGGUCUGAAACUGAUGAAGUUGAGUUUUACUUGGGAGAUAUCUUUAAAAAAUUCAGUUCUCACACACAUAUUAUAAGAAACUUAUGUUAAUGAGGGCUCCUGUGGAAAAGAAUGGUCCCCAGAACUGUCUAUGUUUCUCUGUUUGACCAAAAAAAAAAAAAAAAAGAAAAAGAAAUUGAUUUUACCCUUUUAAUGUUUCAGAAUUCAUAUUUUGUUACCCAGUGGCACAAGUACUUCUCUCCUUUAAAACCCACUUCAUUGUGGUUUUGAUUUAGUUUCAAUAAGAAACGUAUUGAUUGAUCAAUCAAAGACAUUUACAAAGAAGAAUUUGUUUGAGUUUUGCCAGUUUGGACCCUAACAUCUCACAUAGCAUGACUCUUGUAAGACGUAUAUAAUGGAAGUGAAUGAGUAAUUUGAAUUUCAAGGUCAACAGCAUGCUUUGUGCCUAGACCCUGUUGUUGCUUGGUGCUGCCGGUCCCAUCAAGCCUGAAUGCAUGUUUAAAAAGGCAGAAAUCGAAGAAACCAAACCAUUACUUAAUGACGUACACAUGGUGAGUGAUGAUAUGAUGUUACUGGGAAAAUAAUUAGUUCUUUUACUCCUCUCAUAAUUAGGUUAGCAGCCUUCAGGGAAGGGCUAUGGUAAGAAAAUUGAGAAGGAGGAGGAAAAAAAAAAGCCAACCUCGAAACUCUUUUGAAAACUAUGGACAAGGGAAAAAUAGCCAUUAAUUUAUCAGCUUAAUUAAUGUCUAAAUAUAAAUGCCAACCUGUCCUCUAUCUGCAGUCUGAAAACUCACUUUCCUGUUUUUGCCUGCUGACAUGAACUGGAAGCUGUUGAGGCAGCUGUAGCAUUCUCAUGGCUGUGCACUACUUAGCAAGUGCUUGUUUGCUUAGCAGAGCUUGAAAGCUACCAGAAUGCUGCCUUCACUUCCAUGAUACGCUUCCACAGGUGAGCAAAAAAACGGUAAAAAUCAUAUCAUAGUGCUGCCCAGCUCCUACACCUACAGCUGGGCAUGGAAUGAUGAGAAGACCCAGUGGCUCUGCUCUCUAGGUUCCUGUUCACGCAGAUCAGGUUCAAAGGACUCGUGCAAGGAAAGACUGAGUAGCUCAGGAUGCAGUGCAGAGCAGAAUGGUUUGCGUGGUUCCAGCAGAGCAGGGUCAGCAGCCUUGCAAGCUUGCCAGGCAGCGUUUUCCUUUCCCAAAUUGAAAGUUGAGUAUGCCAGCUUUCCUGGUUAAUUCUGAUCUACAAGUUGAGGGAGAGCCAGGUGCCCUGGUUUCAUCCGGGGUCGAAGGAAAGCUAAUCAGUGAAUAUCUCAGCGCCAUCAAAUUCCUACAAGGCAUCUAUCAGCCCAUCUUUGGUGAGAGUCAAACUUCUAUUGCAGUAGCUUGGUUUAAAAAGAAGAUUUUGCUUUUCCAAAAUCUGGCUGAUUUAAAAAUCAACUGUGAGUGCGUGUAAUAUCAAGAAGGGAGAAUAUAUGCUGUAUUCAAAAAUACUUUCUUGCUCUGAGACAUCAUUCAAUUAUGAAAAAAGCGCAUUAAUACUGAUACUCCUCUGUGGUUGCAUUUAAACAUCAGCAAAGUUUCUUUUCCAGUUCUGGAUAUUUACAAGCCACCCCAGAUUCACGUGACAGAUACUCUCAGCCCAUUCAGUGCCCAACACUCACAUUAGUUCUGUAUGUGCAUGAAACAACAGCCCACAGCAUUUGGGGGUAUGGAACAAACGCUACACGUUGCGUUGCUGUAGUCUGCUGCUAAUAUUAGAACAGAAUGAGCAGCUUUCUUCCUGGAGGCAUCAGCAAGCUUUAUUUGCAACUUUUUUUCUCAGUGGUAUCAGACAUGUGGAAUAUAUUACCAUAAAUUGCUUGUGAUUAAAUGUAAAGUACCAGGAGGAUUUGCAAUAGUUAAUCCUUUUAUUGCUGGGGUCUGUGAAGAGCAAAUUGAGCCGAAGACUGUUACAGAACUGGCUUUCAUUAAAAUUAAUGCUCUUAUAGUACUGUUUUGUUUAAUUAUGGAACAUAAUUUUAGAAAAUAUAAGCUUUAGGAAUAAGAUGGAUAGCAAUGUGUACUGGACAUAUUCUAUAUAAGCCACAGGUAGCAAAAGUAACAUUAGAAAAGUAAAGACCUGCUCCAGCAUCUCAUAAUAUACUCUUACUUUGUGCUGAUAUAUUAUGUGGUUAUGGCCAAGGACAGAAUUUCCCCCAGCAUUCUGCUGAAAGGCAAUCUUGUCUUUAUAUAUAUUUUGAUUUCAGUAAAGUUCUAGGAAUCAGUUUUGCUUUCUACUUGACUAAAAUAGGUGAAUUUCUGGCAUCUGGAAGGAUUUCCUGAGAUAAAGGCGAGGCUGUGUCCAAAAGGGAAGAAAAAAAAAAAAAACAAUAAAAAAAUAGUUAGCAUGCAAAAGGCAUUACUCUCUUUUCUGGGAAGCUGUGCUCCUUUAAUACUUUGAAAAAGCACAAUCUGCUUGUAAAUAAGUCCUUAUGUAACAUUAUAUACUAUGCAUUAAUAGAACUUUUUCUGAAAAUGGCUCGCUGAAAAUACUGUAGGUUGGAUGCCUUAUGCAUGGCGUAGAUAGACUGCAUGGGAUGGCAGCUAUGUGCUGUGGUGCUCUUGGGCAGGCACUAAUUUGCUCAGAUUUCAGGACAACAUCUAUUUCAUUAUUACUAUUAUUAUUAUUUAUUUCAGCUACCAUUCAUUCCCCAAAAUGAUGAAACAGCAGCAGUUCCCCUUGACCACCUCUAUGUAUUUCAGAUGUUGGUAGUUUUGGGGAGAGGCAGCUGAGCAAAAGUGGGAGAAGAACCAGAGAGUAUUUGCUCAGUGAUAUACUGUCCCUAUUUUACUAUAAAAAACUCGAGUUGGCUCUAAACUGUCCCUGUUUUACUGUGUAGGGCUAUUUAGUGAUUUGUUCUUGCUAUUAAGAAGUGAAACUCAGAAGUAAUCCCUUCGCAAUUUACUUAAAUUCACUUAAUUGUUACUGCUUACAAUGCUGAGGAGUUAAAGUCGAACAGAAAGAGAAGGCAGAGAGAAGUAGGUGAGCUUAGUUUCUCAUUUUGUUCUCUUUUUCUCCUCCUCCUUUUAGCCAGCUGUCAAAGGAGCAGUCCCCCUGAUGUCUGGGUUGUAAAUGCAGCCAUGUCUUGAGACUGGGACAAGAGGUGCUAUCAAGACCUCGUAUGUGAGAGGCUGAGAAGGGAGUUCUGAAUCACUCGCAAGUUUGCUGCAUGAACACAGUCACCCAGUCCUGCUGCCACACGUUUUCUUUCCCACCAUCCUUGCAGAGAUGCUACAAGGGUUUAGUGGUCUAUCUGUCUGGCUACGAGAGCUUGGAGUCAAAUCUCUGCUCAGCAUGCAGUUGUAUGAGACACAAGGUGAGCAGUUGUGGCAGUUGGUUCGCUGCUGCUCAGAGGAGGGAACCUGGUUGCUCUGCUCCCAGCUAACCACACCCCACAGCCUGGCAGCCCUUGGCAGCCUGCUCUGUGAGCCACCUCAACCAGGAUCUUCCUCUUUCCAGUCACCGCUUUCCAUACCACAGGACCAGAAGGCUGGUAUAGGAAAUGGGGAAAGAGUGUGCCCACAUCCUUCCUGACAAGGGAGUGUAUGCGGAUUGCAAGGAAUCUCUGAGCCAGGGUCUGGCUGAUCUGAUUUCCCUCUCUGCGUCAUCUUUUUCCAUCUGGAAAUUUGUUUGCAGGAGGAAUUUGAGCCUUGUCUACGUCCAUCCAGGAUUGAUGGAUGGCCAGCAGAUUGAGCAGAGAUACUGCACAGCCUGGAGUUUCCAGAUAUGUUCACAUUAUGUGUUAGCAGCAAAGGCACGGUGCAUUUGCAGUCAGUCAGAUGUUUUGGGGACUUCAUCACAAAUGCCUACUGUGAAGCUAAUAUGGAUAUUCUUGGUAUUCCAACAUGAUCCAGAAGCACUGGGCCUAAGAAUUUUAUAAUAAACAUGUCAUCUUCACUGUCCAUAAAAUCUUUUGAAAUUCAACGCAUUCUCAAGGACUGGUAUUCAGUUCGGUGGCCAUGGAGACUUAUCUCAGUGAAGCCCCUCAGAAGUCCAGCAUGUUGGUGAGGCAUUGGCACAGGCUGUCCAGAUGGUGGUGAAGUCAUUGUCCCUGGAGGUAAUUCAGGUCUUCAAGAACCGUGGGGUUGUGGCACUGAGGAACAUGGUUAGUGGGCAUGGUGGGGCUGGGCUGGCAGUUGUACUAAAUUGUGGUCUUUUCAAGCCUUAAUGAUUUUAUGAUUCGAAAAUGAACCUCUGGAAUGGGCAAGGAGACCAGUUCCCCCCGCAGCCCAGCACCUUGCAAGAGUCUGUCCCAGCCAAAGCUACUGCUCAGCCUGAGUUGGGAAUCAAGCAAAUAUUUUUUACACUGAUCCGGCAGCAAAUGUUUGCUUGUCAGUUUGUUCCUACUGCUGCAUAAGUAGCAGCUGAGGAAAGAAGUGGAGGUGCAUCUGAGCAAAAGUCAAGGACGGGAAAGUUCAGGGAAUGCAAUGACGACAGAAGCCCUUUGUAAAAUGAGAGCAGAAAAAACUGCAAACAGAAACAAGUCCAUCAUCAGUGUGGGGCCACCUGAGCUCCCCUUUCCAGUGGAGUCUACUUUAGCUCUGAAGCUGGCGAAAUAACAGCAAUGACUCUGUGACCUGUCCGAGCUCAGGGAGCCAUUUCUGUCAAAUACUUACGAAACAAAAGUGCUCCAUGAAGGCUCAGAUCCUGGAUCACAGCCUGCAGCUCCAUAGUAGUACCUGCCUGUGGGAAUUUUAACACAGCCUUCCCCAGGUGCUGCAAUUGGGUCAGCAGCUCGACCUUGAGGCUCAGGCACAGACAUGGCUCUCCGGGAGCAGGGCAGCUUCAGCACUGCUCGCAGCAGACACCGCCCAGGGCACAGGAAGGGAACAUGUAUUUAUCAUCUCCAGGAAGACUAUGGAGCAGGAGCAGUUCUGUAUAAUGGCUUUUCUGCAGCAAAGUUCCCUAUGGCUGGAAGCAAGCACAGGACUGCCAACAUUACCAUGGAAACCCCCAAAAAUAAAGACUUUCCCAGCCUUGUGAGAGCACACCUGCAAGAGCAAGAAUGGCAGUUAGCCUUUUGCCUGUCAGAAGCAAAUCUCCUUCAUUACUGGUGUCACCUAAGGACAUUUUUUACCAUCGGACUGGAGCUUCCUGUUGUACACAUAACAAGCUUUCAGAGAAGGAGCCUGGCGGUUAUGAGAGGAAGCCCCCCACGUAACUAUACAGGAUCUCAGGCUCAGAAAUAGCACUUCAGGUUGAAUGAAGCUUUAGACUCAACACACUCAAAGCCUGCUCAAGGUUUCUUUCAGACCUGCUGCCUACCCGGUGCCCCUGCUUUGUGAUUAACUUUCUUCCAACAGUACCUACCACUCUCUGAAGGCAAGAAAUACUGUUUGGUAGAGCAGUCAAGGCACAGUCUUCAGAAAGAGUCUCCUUUGUGUGUAUUUAUACCUGCAAACCUCAUCCCUUGCGUCUACCACAACUGGUAUGUCCUUACCUGCCUGAGAAAAUCCCUAUUGGCUGCACAGUGCAUUGGGAUUGUAGCAAAGUUCAUUGCUUUCAGAGUUCAUCCAUUAAGACUAACAGUAACAGAUAGGAGGCUGGAGAUGAAGCAUGUAUCCAGUGAAGAGAAUCAUGAUACUAAAUCAAUCCCUGCUGGAAACAGAUGAUUUGCUACCAUCAUCAGUGGGUAACAGUCAUACAGGGCACUUGCCGAGUAUUAGAAAAUGUCAAAAAAAAUAAUAAUAAUAAGCACUAAAAGCAUUUGAGGAGAAAUAGAGAGGUGAGAUCACCCACAAAAAUAAAUUGUCAACUUAUAAAAAUGUAAUGUGGAUUUCUUUGAAAAAUCUCAGAUAUCACAAUCAGAAGUACAGCAAUCCUAAAGUAACAUUACAACAAACCAUCUGAGUGCAACGUGCUAAACCUGUAUAUCCCAGUUUCAUGUCUGCAGGUAGAAGUAGAAUUUGCCCUGCAAACUAGAUCUGAUCAGAUCAUGCUCUAAAAGGCUUUAAUUCCCAAAUAACCUGGUAUGGAGGAGAUAACUCUGUACUCUCUAGAACAGUGAUAAACGGUUUAAAAACAGUGUGCUUCAGGCUUGCAAAGUCCUCAGACAAUGCUACUACAAAUGCAAAGAGCCUUUAAAAUUACUAGGUUGAAUUUGUCAUCAAACCGACUUAUGCAAAGCUUUGGCUUUUCUUCUUAGAAAUGAACUCAGUAUCAUUUCACUCAGUCAUUAGCCGGGAUUCUUUAGUUCUGAGGCAGAAUUCAUAUGCAGUCAAUACAACUGAAGCACAUAAACAAGCUGAGGGGUUUUCUAAAAUAAAACUGUAGGAAGUCAAUGCAAAUCGACUAUCAAUGCAAAAAAGGUAUUUCGAAAUGCAAUAAAUUAGCUACAGCAUCUAAUGAACAAAAGGGAAAUUGAUUGUUUUCCAGUCGACUCCUGAAAGCAGAACAGAGGCUUUCGCUUUCCAUUUUCCUCACUGAUUUAAAAAACAAUGCUAUUUUUUUUGGCUUAAAAAUACAUUUAAACUAUUAUUUUAAAAUAGACCAUGAGCAUAAGCAAAAUGUGAAAGGUUUCGAUGCAUCGUGUAAGUUACCAAGUGUUUUGGUAGCUGAAGUUCUUUAAAUAUUCUUGUUUAAUUUAAAAUUAAUAUUCUUUGAAAGGAGGAGGGAGGGGGAACUAGUUCAGACAGCUAUUGAGAGUUGUCCAGCUUGAAGAAUUUUCCUGUAGACGUGCUCUAAACAUUAUUUACGCUUUAUUCUCUGGCCAGGACUGAUUUUCCCUGGAUAUCAGGGAUUCACAUGAACUCCAGCAAAGUGCAGCUUUGCAGGGAAGAACAUGCAACUCCUUGCAGAUCACAGCCCUAAGAAGGAUCCCAAACCAGCAACUGCAUCUUCUGUAUGUGAAACUGCUCUGUCUUGUAAAUCAUCUAUAGGAGAAGAAAUAUCUAAUGGUAAUAUCGAAUUAAUGUAACAAAAAAAAACAACCAAACAAAUGGAAUUCUGGCUAAAAACAAUUGCUCUGGGAAAAGCUUUGAAAUAGUCACUAUCAUUUUUUAUCAUGUUUCUAUCAGAUAGAAUUAAUCACUUUUAAAGUCUGUUUUACUUCAACUUCUGAGCACCAUUCUACAUUUGCAAAGCACAUUUAUCAUCCCAGGGAGAGUCUUCUCCAGCCCACCAGUAUUUUCAAAGGAAAAGGGAAAAAACACAGCAAAAGCUUCAAAGAUGUGAGUGAAUUAUUUCUACCCCUUACAAGCGCAACGUGUUCUCUCCUCUACAGUGACACAGUACAGAAAACAAGAUGUAAUUAAAGCAGCUCCUUUGCAAAAUGAGAAGGACCUUAUAAAGAAUUGGCACACAAUUCUGAUUUGAGCUUUCUUGUCUUAAACAAACCUAAACUUAGUAUAGAAUGUAAUACUAAUGCACUAACAGAAUCAUUCAACAAUUUAUUUUUUUUAAUACAUCAGACUGCAAAGUGCUGGGCCUGUAAUCAAAGGAAUGCUCAAGUGUCCAAGAUAGCAACAUUGAAGGAAACAGGGAUUUUUGUGUAGUACAGUGCAAGCCAUCAUGCAAGUGAACCAAAGAACACUUGCCAUUUCAUCUUUUAUACCAAGACAAAAAAGCUUUAGUCUAGAAUGACUUUUCCUCUGGUCUACCCAAAUGAACCACAGACCAAACAAAAAGCUCACACAUUUCAGAAUGUGAUUUUGAAAUCUAGGAUGAAACUUGUUUUUCUAAGGAAGUGAUUUUCAUCUUAUUAUAUUGAAACUGUCCAUACAAGGCAUACAGGAAGAGAAUUGGACAAAUCCACCAAGCAGGGUUUUGUUUGUUUGUUUGUUUUGCAGUUGGAGAGAAAAUAAAAAUUAAAAAUUAAAAAUCCGCGGUGAUCCAAGCUAAGCAUGAGGUAAAGUUCACCAUUAACGUGCAAAAUUUUAAAAGGAGGCUCAAGGCCCACUCAUAAAAGAUUCAGCAAUAAGUGGAUUUUACAGUGCACUAUAAAUUCAGAUGCUGCCUCUCUGUUACUGAACUCAUGUUGCUGAUUAACUCAAUGCACAACAUUAGCAGAACAGCAGAGUUAAUUCAAAGAGAGCCAGAAAACGCCACAAGAAGCCUAGGUGCUACUCCGUUGAGCUGCAAGAACUUUGCUAGCCACUAACCUACAUCUCACGGUAUCCAGCUAACUCAGCACCACCCCAGCUAAAGAACACCCCAUAAAUACCUGAGGUCAGAAUUCCCUUUCUUCUGAAUAGCGUUAAAGCUCUCUGACAAACUGCGUGCGAAGCACAGUUCCCAGGAAUAUGGAUUACAGACAGCUCUUCAAGAUGUAUUUUGAAAGGAUGGAUGUGGUAUUAAGGUGGUUGGAAGUUGCAUAUAGAAAUAGAAAGAGCAGGUAUAUUUGUAACGCGAGCUGAACCUCAAUUGGCAUGAACUAUCUUUAAGUACGCGGCCUGUAUGAGGAUAGCAUGCACAGAGUACAAAGGGAUCUCUGUUCCACAUCUGGGUGUUGUACCAGGAGCAGAGGGCGGAGGGAGGGAGGUGAAAUCUGUGAUUCUGAUGGGAAGGAAAGAUGCGAGAUGCUGGCAUCUGGCAACCAUAAGAGCAAGUGAGGUAGAGCUGGGCCCCUGGCUGCCCGCCAGCUAGGGCGUAUGCAGGGAUAACAAGAGCUUGUAACCCCCGCUGGAAGGUCAGGAUGGUAGGAACAGAAUUACGGCACACUGUCCUGCUUCAAUUGAAAACUUCCAAGCUUUAGAGAGUAUAACUAAAACUCUACCAAGACAUUCUGUAAUUAAUUUUAAAAAGGUAUGCAGUCACGCUUCAUCACAAAUGACCAGGUCCACAAAACAUCCAGACAUAGAGGACCCAUUAAAUUCACUGGAAGUCUCUAAAUACCUUUACAGUCCUGACCAAAUAUUUUAAGUUGGGCUUUUUUCACCCUUAAGCACGAGGUAAAGCCCUCACUUUGAGACACCUCUCUUUCUCUCGUAGCUCUUUUCAGACUUGCAUUUCACUGCAGUUCUUCGUGAGCACUACAACCUGCAGUGCCUUAGCCAGCAGCACUAUUUCUGAAGUUUCAAAGGUAGUACUGAUGUGUCUCUGCAGCUUGUACCACUCCCAGCUGCUCAUCAGCCUGCUCCGAUGCUACCAACUCCACUUACAGGCUGCUGAGACAAACUUCUCUAAUAUGACAGUCACGGGACAAGACAAAGAUUACAGAUUCUGAAUGAGUUACUGCCUAAACUCAGUCCUAAGAACAUUUUAAGCAGCUAGAUUUCCUCAUAGAUUCUCGCAAUGCCUAGGACCAAUCUCAGCUUUUCAAAAAAGCAAGUUUUUAAUUAUGAGACAAGAAACAAUAGCUUACUUCAACAUGAAAAAGAAUACACCCACUAUUUUUCCAUGUUCUGUAAUUCAAAAAUAGGUCAACCAAUUGACUUUAAAGCUUUCAAAAAGAUUUAAACUGAAAUAUAAGGUUCAAUUUCCUUUUUAUUUUUUAAGCCAGACCCAGAGAUUGAAAAGCUUCAGACUAAUGGCUACCUUAAGGUAAUAAAAGGGGGAAAAGUUUUUGAAUUAUGUAUCUAACGUUGCCAGAACAGAUUGAUUCCACAGUAAAUUUUUAAACAGAGAGUAAAUUUUUAAACACAGAUUAAAUUUGAAGCAUUUAAGUAAGACCAUCGGAUUAACUAUGUGGCAAUUCAGAAGUGCUAGAGGGCCUAUAAUUUGUCACACUGCGCAUACAGACCUCCCUGACUUUUCUUUACUUUUUUCCAUAGGCUGUCCAUUUAGAAUGCAAACAGGGGUCAAAGCACACCUGAGCAGCAUGCCUACCAACUCAGGAGGCUUCCUAUGUUUAAUGUGAACCAGACAGAACCAAUACGUAGUGAAAAAAGUGUCCAUAAAAUCACACAGUUUUUUACUCUGUACUUUAAAAAAAUGUAACUCUGGAGGCCAAAAUUACUGUUUUGACCCUGUCCGGCAGUGAAUGACAGCAGAACUAUGAUCAGCAGCACGCUGACCUAGGCAAUUUCUUCGAGAACUGGAGGAGCACCUUGUAUAGAUGGUAUGAAACGAGGUCCCUCCAUGCAUCAGUGCUGCAGUCACAGUGCACAACGGGCACUGCUUUUUCAAGAAAUGCUCCUAGCAGUGCGCCUGAACUUCAACCAAAGGAAGUGUCACAGCUCCUAAAGUCUAGAAAAGGCCAACCAGACCAGCCCUGGUGCUGCUGUGUGCUCCGAGACCAGGUGAACUCAACUGACUGAAUGGACUGGAGAGUGAAGCAUCCCAAAGGGCUGAGGAAUAAAAGCAACUCCAAACCACCCUAUUAUGAGCUCAGCCUGGUAUCCCAAUGGGCUCCCAGUGCCAAUGGUACGAUUCACUGCGAGCCUCAAAGCAAUCUGUGGCAACGGUAACUCUCCAUGUCAAGCCUUUCCUCCUCACUGGCUCAUGGAAACGUUCAGAGCAGGGAGGUGAGAGACACAGGAGCUACCACGGCCGCUCACACUCAUCCAAAGGCUGACUGAACGAAUUCAGGGAUCUGAGCUGCUUACAGCAGCCUAGCAUACCACUGAACCACACCCUUCAAGUUAUUUCCAGAAAUCCUAAUGUGACUCUAAUACCGUCUUGGGGUUUCCAUCUGAAGUCCAGAACCUGUAAGAAACGCUACUGCAGGAUUCAGGGCCGUGUUCUGCACGUUUCAGGAUUCUCUGUCCUUAGACUCCUGCUGCUCAAACAAACUCAAAGAAAAACUGCUGGUUUAAAAUACUGGUAAGUAAGUCAAACCCGCCAAAAACUGCUUGGAGAUAUCCCAUAUUUGCAGUCACUUCAUCCCAAACUAAUUUGUUUUUAGAACUG